CCUACGGGUGGCAGCAGUGAGGAAUAUUGGUCAAUGGACGCAAGUCUGAACCAGCCAUGCCGCGUGCAGGAAGACGGCUCUAUGAGUUGUAAACUGCUUUUGUACGAGGGUAAACGCAGAUACGCGUAUCUGUCUGAAAGUAUCGUACGAAUAAGGAUCGGCUAACUCCGUGCCAGCAGCCGCGGUAAUACGGAGGAUUCAGGCGUUAUCCGGGUUUAUUGGGUUUAAUGGGUGCGUAGGCGGUCGGAUAAGUUAGAGGUGAAAUCCCGGGGCUCAAAUCCGGCAUUGCCUCUGAUACUGUUCGGCUAGAGUGGAGUUGCGGUAGGCGGAAUGUAUGGUGUAGCGGUGAAAUGCUUAGAGAUCAUACAGAACACCGAUGGCGAAGGCAGCUUACCGGGCUACUACUGACGUUGAGGCACGAAAGCGUGGGGAGCGAACAGGAUUAGAUACCCGGGUAGUC
rnacentral:rRNA from 1 species